rnacentral:rRNA from 1 species
GCGCGUAGGCGGUCUGUUAAGUGUAGAGUGAAAUCUCUGGGCUCACCCCAGAAACUGCUCUGCAUACUGGCAGACUUGAGGGAUGCAGAGGUUUGUGGAAUUCCUGGUGUAGCGGUGAAAUGCGUUGAUAUCAGGAGGAACACCCAUGGCGAAGGCAGCAAACUGGGCAUCAUCUGACGCUGAGGCGCGAAAGCGUGGGUAGCAAACAGGAUUAGAUACCCUGGUAGUCCACGCCCUAAACGAUGGAUACUAGGCGUAGGAGGUAUCGACCCCUCCUGUGCCGCAGCUAACGCACUAAGUAUCCCGCCUGGGGAGUACGGCCGCAAGGUUGAAACUCAAAUGAAUUGACGGGUACCCGCACAAGCGGUGGAGCAUGUGGAUUAAUUCGAUACUAACCGAAGAACCUUACCCAGACUUGACAUCGAUCGCAAGCCUUAGAAAUAGGGCCCUCCCUCACAAGGGGACGUGAAGACACUUGUUGCAUGGCUGUCGUCAGCUCGUGCCGUGAGGUGUACGGUUAAGUCCGCCAACGAGCGCAACCCACGUCCUGUGUU